rnacentral:rRNA from 1 species
UACGGAGGUGGCAAGCGUUGUUCGGAAUUACUGGGCGUAAAGGGCGCGUAGGCGGCAUGGCAAGUCGGAUGUGAAAGCCCCGGGCUCAACCUGGGAAUAGCAUCCGAAACUGUUUUGCUUGAGUCCUGGAGGGGAUAGUGGAAUUCCCAGUGUAGCGGUGAAAUGCGUAGAUAUUGGGAGGAACACCUGCGGCGAAGGCGGCUAUCUGGACAGUGACUGACGCUGAGGCGCGAAAGCUAGGGGAG